CUCACCAAAACCUCCACUCCUAAAAUCUCUCCAACAACCAAAUAAAUCAAUAUCCAUCAGUUUAAUAUCCCACAUUCACGUCUUUCACAUCCAAGUAAAAUCUGUGAAAAACCUACGGCAGUUUUUCUCCUCUUCCGUGAAGAGUGUGGAGGAGAAACCAGAGAGUUGUGAUCUUUUUUAAUACCUUCUCUUCUGCAAGUUCUGCUUCUUCCGUGAAGGGUGAACUUGUGCACGUUGUUGCGGUUUGGAACAGAAAAUGAUUGAGGAGUAAGCUUUUGAGAUUGAGCGGCGAUGGACGUGGAGGAUGUUGAGCAGAGUUCAUGGAUUGUUUUGUCAUGAUUAAUAAUUGUUGGAUUUGUCGUGUCUUCAUACUCGGCAUUUUCCGUGUCUUGAACACUUCCGCUAAGAGUCCUUUUCUUUAGAAUUGUUUAUUCGUGCAGAGUCUAACUCGUUGAAAAUUGUUUACUGUCCAUUCUUUAUUUC